UCUGUAACGUCACUGUGCCCAUUUCUUAUUUUUCUUUUUAUGACAGAAAUCAAGAAAAUGUAUAUAUGAAUUUGUAAUUGAAAGCUUUACAUAUUGGAAUGUUAGUCAGUAACAGUAGCAGCUCUGAAGAGGAAACAGAACAUUUACUAUUAGAGGAUGUAACAAAAAGGCUGCGAUGUUGGCACAAAGAUGACAACUCAUUAAGGAAGAAGCACAAAUCAGAGGAACACACCACCAAAGCAAGAGGAAGAUGAGGACCCACAGACUGAGGACAGCAUGCAACAUGGUGGACUGAUUCAAUCCUUCAAACACGAGAGGAGAAACUGGGCCACUUACGUGUACUUUCCAUACAUCCCAGUGGAAGGGUUCUUGGAGCUGCUUGAUGAGAUGACUAAAGUAGCAGCAUCCCAUGGCAUCUCCCUCACUCAUACAGACGAGUUUCACAUCAGUCUAUCACAGGACAAAGUGCACAGAAAUGAUUAAUAGUGUUCUAGCAACAUACAUUCUGAAAAGGUUGGUUGCAGAUGUGGGGGACCAGCAUUUCAGCCUCCUCCUCGAUGAGUCCACGGAUGUAAGUGUUUCUAAGUACCUGGGGGUUGUGAUAAGGUACUUUAGUGACACCAAGCAGACAAUUGUAUCAACAUUUCUGGGGCUUGUUGAGUUUGAGGGAGGAGAUGCCAAAUCUAUAGCCUGUGCUGUUCUGGCUUUCCUCGAGAAGUGUUGUCUUAAAAAAGAGAAACUCCUGGGGAUAUGGACUGACA